UUGACAGCCCUGUUCUAGAAGAUGCUCUGAAUUGCUAGCGUGGAAAAGACCACUGUGAAUCUACCAAAAAAAAUUGCUAGUAAUUUAGAGAGACACUGAAAUACAGAUAAGAUGUCUGCAGAAAUUCAUUCUUUUAACAGCCAGUUCUCCUUUUCAUGCAUGGAUAUAUUUCGAUCAAAAGUCUUUCUCAGAGGAAUCAUGACUGAAAAGAAUUUAACUUUGGAUCAUAAAUAUUAUUCUGAGUGGUAAAUCCUCCUACAUUAUGUCAACCAAAGAUUGGCUGAAAGAGAGCAAAGGAAGCUGAUUGUGUAGGGGAAAAAAAAUCAGCCAAGCUUCAAAAGUCACUGAAGAGUUUGGAUGUUCUUCCUUCGGGUGAAAUCAUUCUAGUGCAAUAAAGCAAAAUAAAAUCAUUUGAAAAAA